CCUUCGCCCCUCCAGAUGUUUUGGACUACAAUUCCCAUCAUCCCUGACCACUGGUCCUGUUGGGUAGAGAUGAUGGGAGUUGUAGUCCCAAAACAUCUGGAGGGCC